GCUCCGCCUCGCUCCCGGCCCCCCUGGAACCGCAGGCAUUCCAGACGGAACAGCUUUGAUGUCUGUCUCCCCUUUGCGCGCCUGCCUCCUGCGAAGUCCAGCCCGGUGCCAAGGACGUUCCAUCUCCAUGGCUUUGCUCAGGUGUCCAUCUUCAUCCCCAGCAUCCCUUCCUGUGCGAGCGACCUCUCCAUCCCUGGGCUUGCAACGGCCCCAAACUAGUGGCUCUGGGAGAGCCUCAGCCUCAGGGUGGUCCCCACCCUCACCCCCCACUCAAAUCCACCUGCCGGCAGCAGCCGUCCGUACCUCUGCUUGCAGUAAACAUGACCUUUGCCUUCAUCUGCUGACAUGACAUUGAAAAGUGGCAAGAGGAAAACAGAGUGGGAGAAAGGCAAUUUACAACCCCACCUCUGAUUAGUUAUGAGAAAUCAUGAAAAUAAAGCAAG